AAUCGCUAGCCCUUCAGGCCAGGCCAGAUACAUUUUUUGUAAGUAUAGAUAAUUGUUAAUGUGUCAAUCCUAGUCAGGAGCCUUUAAUCUAGUAGUUAUAGUUGGUUAAUUUCUGAUAUAUAUACAUAUAUAUUUGUUUUUUUUAUUGUCUUAUUUUAUAAUUUAAAAUCAAGCCAUUAGUUUUCUUGUUUGAAUUUUCUUUCAUUUUUGAAUGUUGUGACCUUUGUAGCUGACUUGUUCAAUGUGAUUUUUUCUUGACUGUAUUUUAUUUGAUAUUUUUUCUUUUUUUUUUAUCUUUUGUGGAAUCAAUUAGAGGAGCCAAAAUGUAUAAGCUUAGGUUCAAAACAUUCUGGAGGAGCAGAUUGUGUGAAGAAGCCAGCAGAAGUCAAGAGAAAUAAAAAGAAUGGAACAAAAGAAAAAAUGAAAAAGAACAGUGAAAUGACAAAAUUAAAUAAAAUUUUUGCAUUUCU